AAAAGCUAGUAAGGACUAGAGAAAAAUUAAAGGAGAAAAAAAUUAGUAAUGCCCAUUUUGGAACCUAAGGGGCCAGGGAAAGAAAAUGUCAUCACUUACUACUACUUAUGAAAAGUAUUGAUAUUUGCAAAUAUUUGUAAAAAUUAGCUCAAAAUUAGAAAUAUUAGAAUCAGAAGUUAGUUUGAGCAGUCUCUUUAUCUUUUCCACUUUAUUAAGGUAUUUUUGGGAAUGUUUAGUUUAAAAACAGAAAAUAUUUCAGCUUUUAAAACCCCCGCAGACGAAAAUAGGAUUUUAAAAUGAAGAUGGUACAUCAUGAAUGAAAUAAAAUAGCCUUCUCUACUAGGAGCCGCAGAGGCCGCUACCACUAAAUUCCAGCCGUUUCCUUCCUGACCCCCAAAUGAAAGCAUCCAAAAUGCAGCUUCAAUUCAGCUUUAUAAUUCAACACCUAAAAAAAAAUCAAAACAAAAUUCCUUUUAAACAGCGCCUCCAAACCAUCCGCAUUAAAAAUACCAGGCCUGUGAGGCUGUGCCUGGCGGAACAGGCUCAGAGUCAAGUGAGCUGGGGGCUGGCUUUGCCAUCAGCCACCAUUCACGGUUAGAGGUUCUUUUUAAUUAGGGAUCCGGUGUGAGAUAUCACUUAAUCCCCUAGAAUCCCUGAGGCCUGCAGCCUGCUGCCUCUUCCAAAACCUAGUCCUAAUUCGCCUCCCCGAAAGGACAGACUGAGGGGGAGCUGUCAGGCUGCCCAGUGCAGCCUCUUGCCUUCCUCCCGCUCACCCAAUUCUCUGAUUUAAAUCGACCUCAAAAUUACAUCAGAAAAGUGUAUUUUGGAAGAAGGGCGGGGCUGGAGUAGAAAAAUCUGUAUUCAGAUUUAAUCUAGCGAGAAAAUGAGGGGCGUGUAUUUGUUGAAGGUUACCUAAACCCGAGAGGGGUUGAAGGUUACCUAAACCUGGAGAGGGUCCUGGGGCGUAGGACGACCCGGAUUGCGCGCCCGGAGUGGAGGCCAGAGGCUCGGCUCACUCCACGCGCGGCCCUGGAGCGCACGCAGAACCGCGAUCACUCAUUCAGGAGUCCCUGACCCGCAUUCGUGCAUUCAGGCUCAGGGAAGGAGCGCACGCACGCCACGGCCGCCGCGUUCACACGGCCCCCACGAAAUAGCGGGGGUGGAGGCGCCCUGCAAGGAGCUGAGCUGUAGGCAGGUUUUCUUUCUCUCCCCGGAGCUGGGAAGAGGGCCAGCCCCGAGUGCCGCACGCCAGGCUCGGCUCUGCAGCUUGCGGGCGAGGAGGGCGCGGGUGAGCUGGGCCCCGCGCACGUUUCGGGUCGUGUCUACAUUCCUUCCCUGGCUGACCUGGCCUGGAGCAAGGGACCGCGGCAGCACCACGGAGUUGCUGAGCUACUGGAGCGGACGUCUGGACCUCAGGUCAUCUUUACUGCCUCCUGAGAACAGAGCCAACACAAUGGCCGUUUGUAGGAUGCGCACUUCAUCUUAGACAAAAGUGAAGAUUUGAGGAAGGCUCCUGGCAUCUCCCAGGCUGGAAUCUUACCAGAGGAAUGAGAACCUGAAGGGAAGAAUUCUGAAGUUCGAAAGUCAGAGCAGAAACUCUGAAGGCCUCAGGGUGGUGACACGCUCUCCUGAUAGGCUAAGGCUGAUGUUGCCCAUGCCUGGCCAAGCUUGUUCUGAAGAGGGAGCAGGCUUCACACGAACAAGAUGGAAGGACUGCUUGUUCCCUCUGGAAAGUUCUAUUAAAAUGAUCAACCCAGACACACUUUAAUAUU